rnacentral:rRNA from 1 species
GUGCAGCAGGCGAGAAUCUUCCACAAUGGACGAAAGUCUGAUGGAGCGACGCCGCGUGCGGGAUGAAGGCCUUAUGGGUUGUAAACCGCUGUCAGGGGGGAAGAACAUCGGAAUGAACAAUACUCAUUCCGACUGACGUUACCCCAGAGGAAGCUCCGGCCAACCUCCGUGCCAGCAGCCGCGGUAAUACGGGGGGAGCAAGCGUUGUCCGGAAUUAUUGGGCGUAAAGGGCGUGUAGGCGGCGAGGUAAGUCGAAUGUGAAAUCUCACGGCUCAACCGUGAAACUGCGUUCGAAACUACCCUGCUUGAGUACGGGAGAGGUGUACGG